AGAAGUUGAAGACAACUUCAACAACCAUUCUCGGCCAAGAAACCAAGAAAAUCAAAUCCAAAUCAAGCCACCCCAAAAUUUUUUCCUUGGUAUAAAUCAACUAUUUAGAGGUCCCUAAGUAGCGUGGAAGUAUUGUUGGAGCGAUCAAGUCAUUCAUUUAAGAGAUUACAAACCCUAACCCCUUUGUGGAGUUGAAGAAGAAAGACCUUGGGGAGCCCGAGGCGUAGAUUUGGAGUAGCUUUAGAUUGGCUAGCUUGGAAGUGCGUUCGAGGUACAGACGCGCAGUUCGGUGAUCCCCCAGUUUAGGAUAUCCCCUUCAGCUGUUUGGAGUGCUCUUCUCAUUUCAGAGCAUACACUUUUGGUAUAUACUUUUGUUCGUUAUCUAUGUUGUAUAUAUUCGUUCAUGGGUACGGCGGGGCCCUGUUCCGCCAUAUGAUUCGUUUGGUCUGUUUAGAGGUCUGUAGACUUAUUUGUGGGUGUGUGUGCCUACUACUGUACAGUUAUGUCCAUAUGAUCUCUUUUGUUAUGGCAGCCUUGUCGGCUCGCACAUGUAUAUGUUGUUCUGUUGGCACUGUGUGGCCUUUGUUGGUAUUUGCUGUGUACAGGGUUACUUUGGAUAGUCCGAAAAACAAAGGAAACUCUGUCGAAAUUUUCUUUGAAAAUCUUGUAAAUUUGAAACACCGCCUUGUCGGCUUCUGUUAUAUACCUGGAUGUGUUUGAUAUAAUCUGAGGCAGCGUUUGAUAUUU